AAGUAAUAAAGAGUAAAGUGUUUAUAACGUGUUUAAAUUGCAGAAAAUUUUAAAUUCUAUUUAUGUCACUCUAUUUUACAAUGUUAUUGUAUGUAUAUCUUGUUUAUGUAAACCAACAAGAACCCCUAAAAAGCCAAACCCUAAUGGAUCUUGGGCGGUCCCUCGAUGUCUUGUGAAAUCUCCAGCAAAUGUUUCAAAUCUUGCUCAAUCUCCUUGUUUCCUUAAUUUUCUGGAAAAUAAAGCAAGGUGAAUCAAAUCAAAUCUUAUCUUAUCUUGGAAACCAAAUUAAAUCAUUCAUGCAAUUUCCAUAACACGUGCAAGCAUACAUGGAACACUAGAUAUUCAUCCCAGUCUAUUCAUAUUCUUUCAUUCUACUAGCUUUCUUUGAAAUUUCUCUCUUCCUUAAAUUUUCUUUCUUUCUUCAAAGAAGAGACAAAAACAAAAAGAACGACAUUCAAUUAAUAUAGCUACUACAAUUCUAAGCUGCCUUGUGGAACUACAGAGAAGUGAAGAGCCGAGCUUUGAUCAACAUCACAAUUUCAUUUUCUAGAACGAGGGGGCAGUUUGAUUUUGUCAUGCACCAUUGAGUUCCUAGCUCCCCAAAUUUUGUACACCGAAGUAGCAAAAACCAACUUCGGGAUCUCAGAUUGCAUAAACCUCCCCUUAAAUUGAAGAAUAUACUUCACCAAAUUGUCCCAGACAAAUGAGACAUGAUGCCAAAUCCCAACAUCCAUAACAGAAGAUAAAACAGGUUUAGAGUAAGGACAAAAAAAGAUGAGGGAAAGUUUCUGCAGUCAAGUUACAAAGGGGGUAGGCCAAGCACUGGAAAUUAGAAAAGGAACAAAAUAAAUCAU
rnacentral:lncRNA from 1 species